AUGGGAGCUCUCUUGCUCCAUCACUGAAAGGAAGAGGAGGAUGUGGCACGGCUGCUGGCUCAUGGAUACCCAUUGGCUGCGCAGGGACUCGUGGAUUAAUUGCGCAGACUAAGGGUUUGCAUGCGCCAGGAGACGUGGUUGCCUUUCAUCUUUUUUGUAUUGGGGUGAAGGGAGCUCCUAU
rnacentral:pre_miRNA from 1 species